GUGACCUGCGGAAGGAUAUUG
rnacentral:rRNA from 1 species